CUUAGGCCUGCCCCAGCCAGCCUCUCAGAGCCUCUGCUGAAUUGAUGUGGCUGAUUGAGAAAGUCAAACAACUUCCUAAACUGCAGGUCUGACAACCGCUCGGCACAACCUACUC
rfam:Rattus norvegicus strain BN/SsNHsdMCW Contig69902, whole genome shotgun sequence.